GAAGGACAAACAAGGUCCUUUGUUUGGUAACCAUUUGGCUGCUACCCUUUUUACUUCCUUAAACAGGCCCUCUUGAUUUGAGGGUUGGGUAACUGAUCCUUCGCUACUUAUUGUGGACUUCAUCCAUUGGUGAAAACUGAUAAGAGAAAGCUGUAAUUGAGUAAUUCAAGACUGAUAGUUGUUAGAUGUCUAAGCCGGAUGCCUACAAUGGUUAAUCGCUCUCGUUAUAGUUGUUCCUCUCCCUCUUUACUGACUGUGUGUGCGAGUUUCAAAAGCAGUUUAUCACCCAAAUGAGACAAAAGGAGCUUGUUUUAUUUGGGUAUAAAUUGCUUUAAAAUUUUCACAGAACAACAUUUGUCUUGUACCGGACGCUUUGUUUAUCAAAUUUCAAUC